GAAAAAAUCAAAAAAAUCUAACUAAAUUAUAAGCAGUUUGCAACGUAAAAACUCGAUCAAUAAAUGAACAAAACUAGCAAUUCUUUUUCGAGAGUAUUUCUAGAUCCUGCAUUGGCACAAAGUACUCUAUGAAGCGGUCGAGAAUCCCAUGGUCGUUCCCUGGUCGCAGUGGCUGUCGUCGGUGGAAGUCAACGCACAAACGGGCCAGAGGGGGCGGACGUGAAAAGCACUCGACUUUGAUUACACGCGAAUGGCCAAGUCGACGCUGGCUUUUUGACUUAUUGAAAAGCGGCAAAAGGCUGAGGAAAAACAAGGAUGCGAAAACUGAAAACCGAAAUCGAGGCUGUGUCAAAACAAUAAAAUACCCAACUAAUUAAGGCCGAGAUGAGGCCACAGCUGCCAUGACAACAGAGGAUCGGUUAUGCACUAUAGAUGGGUAUUCACAUUCACAUUCCCAUUCACCCUGCCUGCUCCCAUUCUCUGGGGAUAAUUUAUGGACAACUUCACAGGCCAAGCGAGAACAUAAACAGCCAUUCCGGAGAUCUCAAAAAUAUGUGUCACUCCCCUUCCGAAACCGAAAUGAGGAUCGUCCUUGUGCGGUUGGGCAACAAUUGCAGUUGGCAGGACGACAACAAUUGCGGGGUUUGUUUUGGGCCAUUUUAUUGCGUUUGCUCAUUAGUGCAAAUAGAAGAUCGUCCUAAAAUUCACAUGAAACUUGUUUGCUCCUCUUUGUUUGCCUAUUUACACAGCUUGCCAGAGGAGAUGGUCUCGUAAAAUUGCCGAAAGGUGUUAAACUGGCAAAAAGUCACUCGAUCCAUCGGAGGCUGUGCUGCAAUUCGGGUUCGUUGAAAAGCUGAAAAUCUUCCAUUGUGGCACAUUGUGGUUUUUAGGGCUCGGUACUUGAGCAAACAAAGUGUCCCGAGCCCCGAUGAACAGCGUGCCACAUUCAUUUAUCAAAUUGGACAAUGGUCUGCGUAUUCCCAUUUUUUUUUGGCACGAUCUAGAGGAUAAUCGUAGCAUUGUGCAGCAAUGAAGUAGCAAAAUAUACUAUAAUAUU
rnacentral:sRNA from 1 species